CACUUCUUCCCUUCCGCUCUCCUCCCUGAUCUGGAGAGGCACCCGUACGCAGCCGUCGACGCCGCCUCGUCGUUGACAUGCUCCGGCACCACCCCGUCCCGCUCGAAGGCGCCCAGGAGCUGCGCCUCGACGUCCUCUACCUCCAGGACAACACUCACGAGCAGGGAUGUACUGUACGGUCGCCAUCGAGCUCAUCUCCGCGUACAUCGUCGCCGUCCGCCGUCGUUUGCCGCUACUCUGGUCCGUUCCCGGCCACCCCAACCACGUCCCCGAGUCCACUACGCCGAGACCAUUGUCGAACCGGUGAUUGACUACUUCAUGUCGAGGAUUCGUUUCUGUCUGCCGAGCAACCAGGC
rnacentral:rRNA from 1 species